rnacentral:tRNA from 2 species
GGGCCGUUAGCUCAGUGGGUAGAGCGCCGGGCUUUUAACCCGGGCGUCGGGGGUUCGAGUCCCUCACGGCCCACCA